AUUGAACGCUGGCGGCAAGCCUAACACAUGCAAGUCGAACGAGUGGCGGACGGGUGAGUAAUGUCUGGGAAACUGCCUGAUGGAGGGGGAUAACUACUGGAAAAGGUAGCUAAUACCGCAUACCAUCGGAUGUGCCCAGAUGGGAUUAGCUAGUAGGUGGGGUAAAGGCUACACUAGGCGACGAUCCCUCGCUGGUCUGAGAGGAUGACCAGCCACACUGGACCUGAGACACGGUCCAUACUCCUACGGGAGGCAGCAGUGGGGAAUAUUGCACAAUUGGCGCAAGCCUGAUGCAGCCAUGCCGCGGGUAUGAAGAAGGCCUUCGGGUUGGAAAGUACUUUCAGCGGGGAGGCGUUACCCGCAGAAGAAGCACCGGCUAACUCCGUGCCAGCAGCCGCGGUAAUAC
rnacentral:rRNA from 1 species